rnacentral:rRNA from 1 species
GCUUAUCGGCAGGCUUUCUAUGCAGUCGUACGGUAACAGGAAGCAGCUUGCUGCUUCGCUGACGAGUGGCGCACUGGUGAGUAAUGUCUGGGAAACUGCCUGAUGGAGGGGGAUAACUACUGGAAACGGUGGCUAAUACCGCAUAACGUCGCAAGACCAAAGAGGGGGACCUUCGGGCCUCUUGCCAUCAUAUGUGCCCAGAUGGGAUUAGCUUGUUGGUGAGGUAACGGCUCACCAAGGCGACGAUCCCUAGCUGGUCUGAGAGGAUGACCAGCCACACUGGAACUGAGACACGGUCCAGACUCCUACGGGAGGCAGCAGUGGGGAAUAUUGCACAAUGGGCGCAAGCCUGAUGCAGCCAUGCCGCGUGUAUGAAGAAGGCCUUCGGGUUGUAAAGUACUUUCAGCGGGGAGGAAGGUGUUGUGGUUAAUAACCGCAGCAAUUGACGUUACCCGCAGAAGAAGCACCGGCUAUCUCCGUGCCUGCAGCCGCGGUAAUACGGAGGGUGCAAGCGUUAAUCGGAAUUACUGGGCGUAAAGCGCACGCAGGCGGUCUGUCAAGUCGGAUGUGAAAUCCCCGGGCUCAACCUGGGAACUGCAUUCGAAACUGGCAGGCUUGAGUCUUGUAGAGGGGGGUAGUAUUCCAGGUGUAGCGGUGAAAUGCGUAGAGAUCUGGAGGAAUACCGGUGGCGAAGGCGGCCCCCUGGACAAAGACUGACGCUCAUGUGCGUAAGCGUGGGGAGCAAACUGGAUUAUAUACCCUGGUUAGUCCACGCCGUAAACGAUGUCUUACUUGGAGGUUGUGCCCUUGAGGCGUGGCUUCCGGAGCUAACGCGUUUAUUUAUACCGCCUGGGGAGUUCGGGCCGCAAGGUUAAAACUCAUAUGGAUUUGACGGGGGGCCCGCACAUGCGGGUGGU